rnacentral:lncRNA from 10 species
CGCCAUUCUCCCGCCUCAGCCUCCGGAGUAGCUGGGGUUACAGGUCCCCGCCACCACGCCCGGCUAAUUUUUUGUAUUUUUAGUAGAGACGGGGUUUCACCGUGUUAGCCAGGAUGGUCUCAGCUUCCUGACCUCGUGAUCCACCCGCCUCGGCCUCCCAAAGUGCUGGGAUUACAGGUGUGAGCCACUGCGCCCGGCCUAUUGUCAUUUUUUUUAAAGAUCAGAUGGCUGUAGCCGUGAUGUAAGAAGUCACUUUUGCCUCCUGCCAUGAUUCUGAGGCCUCCCCAGCCACGUGGA